GUCAGAAGGUGGGAGAGUGGGAGACAUUCUCUGAAUAUGGGAUACCGUGGAAAGUGUAUAAGAGCCAGACACUGUCCAGAACCAAUUCUCUUUUCUGAUUUUUCAACUUAUUCUUGACUAAAAGAUGCAACCAUGAUAUAAUCAGUGUGGAUGCAAGAAGAGGAAAUUUGAUUGGAUGAAAAAAUGAGCUUGCAGGGAAAAAUAAACAGUUCCUAAAGACUAAAAUGUAUUAUACUAGCGUGUUUACUGUAUAUCUAUGCAUGGUUUUGGAAUUUGGAGUCCUAGCCAUCUGCCUAGGUUGGGCUUGGUACAAAGGGAGGUUUAGACCAAGAGGGGUCUGAGCUGUUCUGCUCAGACCUUCUGAAUUGCCUAUGCUGAGAUUGGUCUCUCUCUUUAGCAGCUGUCACUUCCAGUAGCAAUGCUGUUCACCAAUAAUUUCUUCUUUCCUUUCCUGGCCUAUCUAGUCCUAGAGGAACACUCCCUGCAUCUUCCAGAGCACAAAGAGACCUCAAAAUCCCUUCCAGCCUUCACACUAGCAGUGCAGCAACUGAAAUCCUCACAUCCUUCAGCCUAGAGUGAGGUUGCAAGGUGUAUCAGUCCUGUGAAGGAGGUAUGAACCAGAGCCAAAGAUCUUGCUGUCUGCAUUACAAGGAAGAUAAAUAGUGGAAUCAGAGAACUUCGAACUAGAGCCCUGGGAUUAUCAACAGCCAGCCACAAAUCUCCAAGCUGCACUAAAGAGAACCUAAUUGCAAGGACCAGAGAGAAGUAUCCAGCAAACAGCCAACAUGAGAUUAAGGGCCUCAAUCCAAUAGCAAGGAGGAACCGAAUCCUGCCAACAACCUUGUGGAUGAGCUUGGAAGCAAAUCUUCCCCUCGCCUGGGUGAGAUAUGAGAUGACUGCUGCUCUUGCCAACUCUUGAUUGCAGCACUGUGAGAGACCCUAAGCCAAAGGACCCAGCUAAACCAUGCUGGCUCCUGAAUCAUAGAAAGUGAUAUAGCAAAUGUUUGUUGAUUUAAGAUGCUGAAUUUGAUGUAACUUGUUGCACAGAAAUAGAUCAUGGAUAUUAUUCUAAUUACUGCACAGUACCCCUGGCAUGUCUACCACAAUUUACCCGUCUGCUUCUCCAGAAAAACAGCUGAUCAAUUCUAAUUCUACUAAUGAAGCCAAUACCAUGCUGUGAACACCUUGAGCCAGACCCCCUUCUGGAACAAUGGCACCAGUUUUCAGGGAGGCAUAUGCACAAUGGAACUGCUAGGGAAGCCCAGAAACUAGGGAAACACUCAGAAUUCAGGAAUUUAACAAAUUGAGAGGACUGCUACUUUUAAAAGAGGACUUUUUCCCAUAAGCAUUUGCUGUAAGGUGGGUAGUCCUUGAGGGGAAAUAGAGACCACUUCAUUAAUGGGUAUUUUAGAUGUGGGAUGGUAGGUUAAGAGCUAGUAAGAGGUGGUCUGAGGAACAACUUGGAGAGUUGGUGUCUUGUCUUGAAAAGACACUCUGGUAUUUUCCUCUUUUGUUACCCAGGUUGACUGAUUCAUGCUGGGAGGAAGAGGGAGGAAGGCUUGUUCAAAGCUGAGUUGACACAUCUAUAACCAUUGAAACAAUAUUUCUCUGUUUGGAUUUAGUAAAUGGCCUCAAGUUCCUGGAAAUGUGUACAGAGUCCCCGUGGCCAUGAGAAGAUCUGUCAUUUUAUUUUUUACAGUAGGCUAAAAUAUAUUUGGAAGUCAUUAGACUGUGGCUGUCCUAUAUCAAAAGGCGUUUCAUAACAAAACACCAUCAUGCCCCAUUUAUAGUAAUAGCAUGCUGUGUUCUGGCUGCUGUGGGCAAAUAAAAUAUGUUCUUGUAACAUAAACAGCCUCACCUUCCCUCUAAAGACUAAAGGGCUAUGAAAGAUUUAUUUAAAUGGAAUUUUGAAAUAUAAAGACAUGUGCAAAAACAUGUUUUAUAUAUAUAUAUGUAUAUACACAAUGAGACAGAUCAAUUACAUAAGACAGAUUGGCAUAGUUGAAAUGUCAACUCUAAAAUCUAAUAGAUAAUGCUGGAAAGAAGAAUGUCAGAAACAGAAGGGACAUUAAAAAUAUUUCAGUUCAGGCACUAAACUUUGUCCUUUUUUCCCAAUUAUUUUCGCUGUGAUAAAACACAUGUAAGAUAAAUUUCCCAUCUUAGCCAUUUGUAAGUGUACAGUUUGGUGGCAUUAUGUGCAUUCAUAGUGCUGUGCGACUAUCACUACUAUCCCUCUCUGUAACAUUCUCCUGUGGUGAAGCUGAAACACUAUGCCCAUUAAAUAGUAACUCCCUAUUCUCCACAAACCUGAAAACCACCAUUUAACUUUGUCUCUAUGAUUUUGACUUCUCUACCUUAUAUAGGUGGAAGCUUACUGUAUUUGUCUCUGCCACUGGUUUGUUUCAUUUAGCAUAAUGUCCUCAAGGCAGAUCCAUGACAGGACUUCUUCCUUUUUGAUGGCUAACAUUCCAUUGUAUGAGUGCACCACAUUUUGCUCACUCAUUUGGCAGAAACCUUGUGUUGCUAUUGUGAAUAAUGCAGCAUAAACAUGGUGCACAAAUAUCUC
ensembl:lncRNA